UGGCUGCUAUGCAGGCAAGCGGAGAUUUCAAGCCAGUGGGUCUCAGUUUGCCGGGUUCUGCGGAAGUCAGACACACUGAGCAAGGCUGUAGGCUCCCGGCCUCAGCCCCAUUUCCACUGGAGUGGGUAGUUUUCCCGCCUCACUGGAGUUCUGGGCGCCUCACAAGUUCCAGCGCCAAGGCACGGGCAAAAAAGAAAAAAAACACUCUGGCAGCUCAGCGCCUGCCUGCCUGACUGACCAGAACAGCUGCCACAAAUUGAGUUUGCCCGAUUUUGUGCUUGAGACCCAAGGCCCUCCUGGUGUAGACUUAGAAGGAAAUAUCCUGAUCCAUGGUUUGCAAAAAUCCAUGGGAAAAAAAUGCAGUACCCGGGGCCUGGAGCUCGGUCCCUCACUGCCUCCCUUGGCUGAGGUAGGGAAUUCCCUUUGCCCGGUCAGCUCCCAGGUAAACUGUCACCCCACCCUCCUUUUCCUUUCUCUGCCAACUGCCUAGUGAAUCACAAUGACAUGGACUGGGUACCUCAGUUGGAAAUGCCGGAGUCACUUCGCCAUUUGUGUUUGUCUCGCUGAGAGCUGCAAACGGGACCUGGUCGUACGCCACCAUCUUGGGCUGUCCGCUGAGAUCAACUUCUUGUGAGUUCCGGGCGCUUCACGAACUUACAGUUUGAGCUUAUGAGGUUAGCCUUGAACUGACGACCUCGCCUUCGUGAGCGCCAUGACCUCCGGUGGGAGCCACUUUGGACCCCGUAGUAGUCUAAUUUCUAUGUUACUGGAAAAUAUCCAGCUAGACAUGAGAGAAUGUAACUGGAGGAAGACAGCCGUGUGUAAAAGAACAUAUCCAUUAUUAGGAAAUUACAGAAAUUCUAGAGCACAAUCCAUUAGUACCAAAGAACUUUGG